GACGAACGCUGGCGGCGUGCUUAACACAUGCAAGUCGAACGGAAAGGCCCUGCUUUUGUGGGGUGCUCGAGUGGCGAACGGGUGAGUAACACGUGAGUAACCUGCCCUUGACUUUGGGAUAACUUCAGGAAACUGGGGCUAAUACCGGAUAGGAGCUCCUGCUGCAUGGUGGGGGUUGGAAAGUUUCGGCGGUUGGGGAUGGACUCGCGGCUUAUCAGCUUGUUGGUGGGGUAGUGGCUUACCAAGGCUUUGACGGGUAGCCGGCCUGAGAGGGUGACCGGCCACAGUGGGACUGAGAUACGGCCCAGACUCCUACGGGAGGCAGCAGUGGGGAAUAUGGCACAAUGGGCGGAAGCCUGAUGCAGCAACGCCGCGUGCGGGAUGACGGCCUUCGGGUUGUAAACCGCUUUCGCCUGUGACGAAGCGUGAGUGACGGUAAUGGGUAAAGAAGCACCGGCUAACUACGU
rnacentral:rRNA from 1 species